UCAGCAGGUAAAAUAAGAUGUCAAAGCUUACAGGGAGCUUUAUUAUGGCUUGAUGGUAUAUGUAGCAUAAAAAUUCUAUUUCCCCCCAUACUAUUCAUGAAAUAGCAUCCAUCCUAUUGUCAGUGAUGCCAGGGAAAAAAAGAACUGGUGUAUUACAACCUAAGACAAAGUGUUGAGAUGUUUGGCAGUCCUAUACAUUCACAGAGAAAAUGUUCUGCUGGAGAUAUGGGGCAACAUUCAGCCUGUACACACACAGACUAGUUAUGCUCAUGCUUGGCAAAUUCUCUAAUAGAUGAACUACAAUAAUCUUGGAUUCCACCAAAAACUGAAAGAGAAAAGAAGCUGAUGUACUCAAACAAUCCCUGGCAAGAGAAAUUAAUUUGUGAAAUGAAAGAAUGCACAGACUUAAAGAUUUUAAUAUUUUUUGGUACAAAAAUUAACAUUGAAAGGAAUUUACUGUAUGUGUAGUUAAAAUAGCGGGCUUCAUAUUUUAGCUGCUUUUGCACAGAAGAGGAUGUGCUAAUAUUCAU